AAAAUGUACCGGGGCUAAACAUAUUACCGAAGCUGUGGAUUGUCCUUUGGACAAUGGUAGGAGAGCGUUCUAAGGGCGUUGAAGCAUGAUCGUAAGGACAUGUGGAGCGCUUAGAAGUGAGAAUGCCGGUGUGAGUAGCGAAAGACGGGUGAGAAUCCCGUCCACCGAUUGACUAAGGUUUCCAGAGGAAGGCUCGUCCGCUCUGGGUUAGUCGGGUCCUAAGCUGAGGCCGACAGGCGUAGGCGAUGGAUAACAGGUUGAUAUUCCUGUACCACCUAUAAUCGUUUUAAUCGAUGGGGGGACGCAGUAGGAUAGGCGAAGCGUGCGAUUGGAUUGCACGUCUAAGCAGUAAGGCUGAGUAUUAGGCAAAUCCGGUACUCGUUAAGGCUGAGC
rnacentral:rRNA from 2 species